GCAACGAGCGCAACCCCUAUUGUUAGUUGCCAUCAUUCAGUUGGGCACUCUAGCGAGACUGCCGGUAAUAAACCGGAGGAAGGUGGGGAUGACGUCAAAUCAUCAUGCCCCUUAUGACCUGGGCUACACACGUGCUACAAUGGUUGGUACAACGAGUUGCGAGUCGGUGACGGCGAGCUAAUCUCUUAAAGCCAAUCUCAGUUCGGAUUGUAGGCUGCAACUCGCCUACAUGAAGUCGGAAUCGCUAGUAAUCGCGGAUCAGCACGCCGCGGUGAAUACGUUCCCGGGCCUU
rnacentral:rRNA from 1 species